CACAUCCCUGAGGUUUCCUCCUUAGCCUCCGCAGCCCCACCCCCUUCCCACCCCCAUCCAGACAGGAGCUUUUUCCCUUUUCCUGUCCUCUGGAAGAUGGUGUCUGAGCAACCUAGCCGGCUCCUCAGAAGAGGAACUGUUCUCUUGACCCAUCCUGUGACUCCAAGAUUCCAAUUUCCUAAAGCACUACAGCCUUUUAUUAUUGCAUGGGGAAGAUUUAAAGUAUUGCUUGUCCUUGUGCUCAGAAACACAAUGAUGCCUCCAAUGAAGUUGAGAUCAAUGUGCACCAUUACUGCUACAGGCACACCCUUUCAUGUGUCUGUAUUCUGUCAUUUGGAAGGCUCCGGCGAUUUUCCAUUGGAACAGAGGUGUGAAUACUCACCAAAAUCACAACUAGUGAAUUGGGGCAGAAGGCAAAAGCAAAGACAGGAAGUCGGCAGAGUCAAACUUUACGCAUUCGAGUUCCGCUAGUAAAGACCGGAAGUCGGCAACAGAGUCUGCUUUCUGUUCUUUCCACCUCAACAAAAUACCGUCUCCGUCAUCCCUGCACAUCUUGCCUUCCUAAUGUAAGGACGACAGAUUGGCCUUGCCAACCAUUCUUCUCUGUCAUCUCUGCGCUGUCCAAGAUCCAUUUUUGUAAUUGCUGAAUUGUUAAUGCUUCUAAUUGAUCUUUCUGUCUUGUGGUAUUAAUUUUUUAUUUAUGUCAUGGUUUAUGAGUAAGUUCUCAGAAGCCCAAAAUGCUGAAGAUCGAAAGGUUGCAAUAAAUGCAUAUUCUUACUCAAAAUGAUAAAUUCCAA